rnacentral:rRNA from 1 species
AUUGAACGCUGGCGGCAUGCUUUACACAUGCAAGUCGAACGGUAACAGGCCUUCGGGCGCUGACGAGUGGCGAACGGGUGAGUAAUGCAUCGGAACGUGCCCAGGGGUGGGGGAGUAACGCAGCGAAAGACUGUGCUAAUACCGCAUAUUAUCUGAGGAUGAAAGACGGGGGACGUAAGCAGCAAUGUUUGGCCUCGCGCCUUUGGAGCGGCCGAUGUCAGAUUAGGUAGUUGGUGGGGUAAGGGACCUACCAAGCCGACGAUCUGUAGCUGGUCUGAGAGGACGACCAGCCACACUGGAACUGAGACACGGUCCAGACUCCUACGGGAGGCAGCAGCGGGGAAUUUUGGACAAUGGGCGCAAGCCUGAUCCAGCAAUGCCGCGUGCAGGACGAAGGCCUUCGGGUUGUAAACUAGCUUUGUUACAGAACGAAAAGGACUCUGG